AAGAGUGGGAUAAAAACCAACCUAAUAAUCAUUUCACUGCUAUCACCAUCAUAAAACAUAGUUAAGAUUUUAAUCUCAGAGUCAGUCUGAGCAAUGUUUAGGUAAGCAAUAAUGCAGAGAACCCAUUUUCUUUUCUCUUUCGGAAAUCAGGUGGAUCUGAUUCUUUAGCGUGAAGUAUCUGAGGACCACGUAGUGUCUGGUUGGAAAAAAAAACACAGGCAUUAUAGACAGCAGAACAGCACCUGGUCUUCCAUGGAAAGCAAAAGCAAAAUUAAAAAUGUCUCCUUGGAUCAGCCUGGAACUAAAACUGGAGGAGAACAGAUAAUAUCUUCACUAAGAAGACAAACAUGUUGACAAAUACAUGAACACAGAAGAAUUGCAUUAUUUUAAUGCUGACAGUAAAGACAGUGUAGUUGUUAAAAAUUAGGUAUACCU
rnacentral:lncRNA from 1 species